rnacentral:misc_RNA from 1 species
GAUGAAGAACGCAGUGAAAUGCGAUAAGUAAUGUGAAUUGCAGAAUUCAGUGAAUCAUCGAAUCUUUGAACGCACCUUGCGCCCUUUGGCCAUUCCGAAGGGCAUGCCUGUUUGAGUAUCAUGAACACCUCAACUCUUUAUGGUUUUCCAUGAUGAGCUUGGACUCUGGGGGUUUUGCUGGCUCACAGUCGGCUCCUCUAAAAUGAAUCAGCUUACCAGUGUUUGGUGGGUAUCAUGGGUGUGAUAACUAUCUACGCUUGUGGUUUUUCCACCAGCUAACCUUCAGCAGUGGAGGUUCGCUGGAGCUCAUAGAUGUCUCUCCUCAGUGAGGACAGCCCUUUGAAUGUUUGAUCUCAAAUCAGGUAGGACUACCCGCUGAACUUAAGCAUAUCAAUAAGCGGAGGA